rnacentral:rRNA from 16 species
GGAUGUGAUCAUACCAGCACUAAAGCACCGGAUCCCAUUAGAACUCCGAAGUUAAGCGUGCUUGGGCAAGAGUAGUACUAGGAUGUGUGACCUCUUGGGAAGUCCUCGUGUUACAUUCC